CCUACGGGAGGCAGCAGUGAGGAAUAUUGGUCAAUGGCCGGAAGGCUGAACCAGCCAUGCCGCGUGAAGGUCAGUGCCCUAUGGGCGUUAAACUUCUUUUGUGCGGGAGCAAUAAUGGUCACGUGUGGCCAGACGAGAGUACCGUACGAAUAAGCAUCGGCUAACUCCGUGCCAGCAGCCGCGGUAAUACGGGGGAUGCAAGCGUUAUCCGGAUUUAUUGGGUUUAAAGGGGGCGUAGGCUGUGAGGUAAGGCAGCGGUGAAAUGCCCCCGCUCAACGGGGUGAAGUGCCAUUGAUACUGCCUGGCUGGAAUGCGGAUGCCGUGGGAGGAAUGUGUGGUGUAGCGGUGAAAUGCAUAGAUAUCACACAGAACACCGAUUGCGAAGGCAUCUCACGAAUCCGCGAUUGACGCUGAUGCACGAAAGCGUGGGUAUCAAACAGGAUUAGAUACCCGAGUAGUC
rnacentral:rRNA from 1 species